rnacentral:ncRNA from 1 species
AACGUAUCGACAAGUAAGAGGAGUACAUGCACUUGUUUUCACUACAGAGAACCUGCAGGGCUGAGAAGCAGGUAUGGACAGUGCAUGGAAUGGACUUAUGAGAACCUGUCUGAAAAAGAGUAGGACUGGUCGCUUCAUCCCCGAUAACGGAUGAGAGUGCAGGAGGUUUCCUCCUGAAUUGUGGUGGUACCGCGGUAAAUUUUAUCGUCCCGCAU